rnacentral:misc_RNA from 1 species
GUAGGUGAACCUGCGGAAGGAUCAUUACUGAAAGAUAAGAGAGUUUUGAGACUACGUCUUUAACGUGUGCUCGACUCUUACUCUUUAUCCACACACACCUUUGUGCACCAUGGGAGACCGCAAGUGUCACCCCUUUUUGACAUUAAACACAAAGUUAUAUGCAUGUCUUAUAUAUACUCUACGGAGUUAAAUGUAACAACUUUUAACAACGGAUCUCUUGGCUUUC